rnacentral:misc_RNA from 1 species
GCGAUUCCAUCCGGAGAGCUGGGGUUUGUGGAGUCCGCAAGGCAAUCUCGAGGCGAAGGGGAUGGCGCUGGCAUUGGCAGGCGCGAUAAUCGGGC